GACGUAGGGCGCGAGCGUUGUCCGGAUUUAUUGGGCGUAAAGAGCUCGUAGGCGGCUUGUCGCGUCGACUGUGAAAUCCCGCGGCUCAACUGCGGGUCUGCAGUCGAUACGGGCAGGCUAGAGUUCGGUAGGGGAGACUGGAAUUCCUGGUGUAGCGGUGAAAUGCGCAGAUAUCAGGAAGAACACCCGUGGCGAAGGCGGCUCUCUGGAACGCAACUGACGCUGAGACGCGAAAGCGUGGGGAGCAAACAGG
rnacentral:rRNA from 1 species